rnacentral:rRNA from 1 species
AACGAACGCUGGCGGCAUGCCUAACACAUGCAAGUCGAACGAGACCUUCGGGUCUAGUGGCGCGCGGGUGCGUAACGCGUGGGAACCUGCCCUUAGGUUCGGAAUAACUCCCCGAAAGGGGUGCUAAUACCGGAUAAUGUCUUCGGACCAAAGAUUUAUCGCCUUUGGAUGGGCCCGCGUUGGAUUAGCUAGUUGGUAGGGUAAAAGCCUACCAAGGCGACGAUCCAUAGCUGGUCUGAGAGGAUGAUCAGCCACACUGGGACUGAGACACGGCCCAGACUCCUACGGGAGGCAGCAGUGGGGAAUAUUGGACAAUGGGCGAAAGCCUGAUCCAGCAAUGCCGCGUGAGUGAUGAAGGCCUUAGGGUUGUAAAGCUCUUUUACCCGGGAUGAUAAUGACAGUACCGUGAGAAUAAGCUCCGGCUAACUCCGUG